GGGGAAAAGAAAAAAUCCAAGGUGCUGUGAAAAGAGGUCCUACAAAUAAGCUCAGCCUAAACUGGGGUCAUGCUCCUUGCCUGCUAUCGGGAGCUGAAUGAAAGCCCAAAAGCAGCUUCAAAAAACCUUCUAAGUCACAAGCCUGAGAUCCAAAGUGCCACACGCAGAGGAAGAGUUGUUCUUUGCAGGAGCAAAGAGAAGCCUUGUUUAAACUCUCAGGCCCGGUCUAGCCUGACUGGGAUUUGAGAUCUGCUCUCUCCUGCACCCCCAGCUCGCUUCACGUGUCCAGGUGCCUCAGUCCAGCUGCUGCACACUCUGACAUUUGUUCUCUUUUCCAGUCUGGGGAACUCACCCUCCCAGGCCCUGUGGGACAGGGAAGGUCUCCAGGCACUGACACUGGGGCUCCUCCAUGAAGGUACUUGAGGGUUUGAAGCCCGUGCUGGCUCUCAGGAUCACAGCCAGUGCCACGGAGAAGGAAUUCCUGGUACAGGACGUGGUUUGACUCGGGUCCAAACCCUGGUUUAAUCAAUUACUUCCUAUGUGGCCUGAAAUGAGUCACCACGCCUUGGUCCCUGGUUCCUUGGGACAAGGAGCCUGAGGGCUCCAGGCCCUACAAGGGGGGGCAUCACCUCAGAGAGGAGCUACUAAAAAAAAGUUCAUCUCUGUUUUGACACUCUGGAGGAGAGAUGGGGAUCCUGAGUUAUCACCUGCAUUGGAGGAACUAUUCACAGCCACCCCACCCGGGGAAAGAACCUCUGGAAAACAAGUUCUGCGAUGCCAUGGCACAGACAAAGGCCCUUUCAGAGCUGGCACACAAGGAACAAGCUUCCCUUGGGUCAAUAGAGCUGGCCUGGUUUCCAGGAGCUGCAGAUGGUGCCCGGCAGUAAAACCAGCAGGCCCGGCCACGGAGGAGAGGGAUGGCAGCCUGCUGCAGCUGGGAACAAGCUGAGGAUGCAAAAGCAACAGGUCCAGCUGGCAGGGGAGGGACGCAGAGAGCCAGGGAGAGGCUGGAAACAGCCAGAGCACACUGAGAUGCUGGUGGGGCAGCCCAGCCGGGGUGGGCUCACCACUGCAGGGGCUGUCCCUCGUGGCUGGAGUCCUCGCUGAGUUCAUCCACCCAGGAUGAAGCCCAGGACAGUGUGUGAUGACUAACGAGCACCUGGGAGUCAGGACUGCAAUUAAGCAGAGGCACCUCCACGGGUGGACAUAGCAAAGAGAUGAUGAGGAGGAAGAAGAACAAGCCCUCCAGAUCUGCACUGCUUCCCAGUGACUUGUGGCAGCUCCCUGCAGGACAGGAGCCAGCAGAGCCUCUCCAUGGCCAGCACCAGAGUCACAGUGUCCCAGGAUAUCAGCCAAGGUUCCUCCUCCCUGUCAGGGACCCACAGGCUGCCAGAGGGGAGCUGCUCUGAUUCACCUCUGAAGGCCUGGACUCACAAGACCAAUGAAGGACGUGUGUUAGAGAGAGGAGGGGAUGUGGCAGCCAGUGCUGGGGAGGAAACCCUUUCCUGGGGCUCUGAAUCAGUGUUUGAUCCAAUGGCACAGGGUCCCACCUGCACACAGCUCUUUUUGAAGUCCUACAAGCCAGACACUCCCCAACAAGAAUCUCAAGCUGAUCUAAGCUGUGCUCCCAGCCUGACUGGACGAGUCCCCUGUCCUGUCCCAGUUCAAACUCUUUGGGACAGGCAUUUCCUGUUCUCUGGAUGUUCAGUGACCAGGUGUGAGGGACAGUGGCUGUGCUCCCUGUGUGACAGCUCUGGGAUGAUCACAGGGUGUGGGUUACUGACCCUGCAGCAGAGCACAGCUGUGAAACAGCACUGCCCCUCUGGACACACAGCACUUUGACUUCCAGCAGGCUGUUCCUCCCCUUUGAAAGCAGCAUUUAAACAACCCCAGCAGACCCUGGCUGCCCAUCUCGCUGAAGAGCAGGGAAUAAACAACACAUCACAGAGGACAAGGUGCCAGAGCACUCAGCCAACACAUCCCUAGAAAAUUACCAGGCAGAGAAUUCCCAGGGCAAAAAAACCACAAGACAGCACUGGAAGAACAAAACAGCAUUUACCAGUUCUGAACUGACACCUAAAAUCCACCCUAAAUCUACAGGGACCAGAAGCUAAUAAACUUUAUUAGCAAAUAAAAGCUAAUACAGCUGAGUGACCAAAUGCACCAAGUGUCGUGGAAAAGGAAGCUAACACGGCAUCCAAAGGCUCCCUGUGCCAGAUUGUCAGGGGAAAGAAAGGAGAGAGCCAAGAAUCUGCACAGGAGGCUCUCCCAAAGCUCAGACUGAAAGAAGAAAGGGAGGUUGAUGUCUGGUGACCAUGGAUGCAGGACAUCCCACCUCCACCCUGCAGUCAGGCUGCUGGUGGUGGUGUCCCUGGAACAAGCAGCGCUCAGGAGGGAACGAGGCUCCCGGGUGCAGGACAUGUGCCAGGCAGGCAGGGAAGGAGAGAGCACUGCCAACACCUUCCUGCAGAGCAUCUGGGGCAGGCCCGGCUGCCGGCCAGACCGGCUCACCUGCUCAGCUCAGGAGUCACCAAAAGGAGAAGAGAGGUGCUGUCCACGACCACCAGCUGAGAGCACGGCCCACUCCUUCGGGGAAUUCGCGGCGCGGUUCCAUCCCCGCCCUGGAUCCCGCUCGCCUGUCGGGUGGCGUUCUAUGUCCGGUGAAGUGGCUGCUUCGGUCUGACACAGGAACUGUUUCUGUUCAGACUUGUAGAAUUAAAUGAAUUAAAUGAAUUAAAAAUUGCCUCCAGGCAGCGUGGCAUUUUCUGCACCAGA